rnacentral:rRNA from 1 species
AUUGAACGCUGGCGGAAUGCUUUACACAUGCAAGUCGAGCGGCAGCGCGGCCUUCGGGCUGGCGGCGAGCGGCGAACGGGUGAGUAAUGCAUCGGAACAUGCCCAGUCGUGGGGGAUAACACUUCGAAAGAAGUGCUAAUACCGCAUACGUCCUGAGGGGGAAAGCGGGGGAUCGCAAGACCUCGCGCGAUUGGAGUGGCCGAUGUCAGAUUAGCUAGUUGGUGGGGUAAAGGCCUACCAAGGCGACGAUCUGUAGCUGGUCUGAGAGGAUGAUCAGCCACACUGGGACUGAGACACGGCCCAGACUCCUACGGGAGGCAGCAGUGGGGAAUUUUGGACAAUGGGGGCAACCCUGAUCCAGCCAUUCCGCGUGAGUGAAGAAGGCCUUCGGGUUGUAAAGCUUUUUCGGCAGGAACGAAACGGUGGGCUCUAACAUAGUCCGCUAAUGACGGUACCUGAAGAAGAAGCACCGGCUAACUACGUG